GGGCCAUUAGCUCAGUUGGUUAGAGCACUCGGCUCAUAACCGAAUGGUCCGGGGUUCGAGUCCCUGAUGGCCCACCA
rnacentral:tRNA from 1 species